rnacentral:rRNA from 1 species
UACGUAGGGUGCAAGCGUUGUCCGGAAUUAUUGGGCGUAAAGAGCUCGUAGGCGGUUUGUCGCGUCGAAUGUGAAAACCCGGGGCUCAACCCCGGGCCUGCAUUCGAUACGGGCAGACUAGAGUUCGGUAGGGGAGUCUGGAAUUCCUGGUGUAGCGGUGAAAUGCGCAGAUAUCAGGAGGAACACCGAUGGCGAAGGCAGGUCUCUGGGCCACUACUGACGCUGAGAAGCGAAAGCAUGGGGGAGCGAACAGG